GGGCAAAUCUUUCAAGAUUUUAAUGUCCAUCAGAAUAAGAUAUAUCCCCUCACAAAUUUUCAGUUGAAUCGGACAACCUGUUGUUGGGUUGCUGCCCUUAAAUUGGUUAUUUUAAGAAAAUUUUGCAGUUUUUGGUUAUUAUCUUGAAUACUAUUAUAGAUAGAGAUAAACUGUAAACAGCAAUAAUGUUCAACAAAGUAAGAUCUACAAAUAAGUCAGCAUGAUCAAAAUUGUUAGAGGACCCCCUAAGGAGUUAUUGCCCUUUAGAGUCAAUAUUAAACAACUUUUCCUCAUUUUUAUACGACCGUCGUCGUCCGAAUACUUUUAGUUUUCGCACUCUAACUUUAGUAAAAGUGAAUAGAAAUCAAUGAAAUUUUAACACAAGGAUUAUGACCACAAAAGGAAGGUUGGGAUUGAUUUUGGGAGUUUUGGUCCCAACAUUUUAGGAAUUAGGGGCCAAAAAGGGCCCAAAUAAGCAUUUUCUUGGUUUUCGCACUAUAUUUUUAGUUUAAGUGAAUAGAAAUCUAUGAAAUUUUGACACAAGGUUUAUGACCACAAAAGGAAGGUUGGGAUUGAUUUUGGGAGUUUUGGUUCCAACAGUUUAGGAAUUUAAGGGCCAAAAAAGGGCCCAAAUAAGCAUUAUUCUUGGUUUUUGCACCAUAACUUUAGUAUAAGUAAAUAGAAAUCUAUGAAAUUUAAACACAAGGUUUAUGACCAUAAAAGGAAGGUUGGGUUUGAUUUUGGGAGUUUUGGUCCUAACAGUUUAGGAAUAAGGGGCCCAAAGGGUCCAAAAUUGAACUUUGUGUGAUUUCAUCAAAAAUUGAAUAAUUGGGGUUCUUUGAUAUGCCGAAUCUAACUAUGUAUGUAGAUUCUUAAUUUUUGGUCCCGUUUUCAAAUUGGUCUACAUAAAGGUCCAAAGGGUCCAAAAUAAAACUUAGUUUGAUUUUAACAAAAAUUGAAUCCUUGGGGUUCUUUGAUAUGCUGAAUUUAAAAAUGUACUUAGAUUUUUAAUUAUUGGCCUAGUUUUCAAGUUGGUCCAAAUGGGGG
rnacentral:lncRNA from 1 species